GGAUUCUUCUGAGGAAGAUGGACUUCUAGGCUCAUAUCUGGUGGGUGUUGGAGGAGGAGCUGGUCUUUGAAACAAGGGAGAUGGGUUAUAGGUUACAGGGGUUGUAUCAUAGGAGUAGUUGAAAGGUCCAAAAGGAGAGUAAGUAGGUUCAGGUGUUGCAAGGAAAGGAUUUUGUGAUUUCAGGGUAGAGAAAGGGCUGUAAGAAGCGGGUGCUUCUGUUGGUCUGUGAAGGUCUGCUUCGCCCUGAGCCAAUUGUUUUUUCAGUUUCUUGAUCUCAGCUUCCUUUUGGGUAAACUCCAUACCAAACCUUCUUUGUUGUAUCAAGGACUUCAGAUAUAUCAAGAACGUAUCUCUGAUUAUAAAGGUAUAGUACACGUUCUAAGGUUUUCAGGAGAAUGAGAAAAGAAUUAAAAGGCCAUAGAUGAAAAACUGAUAUAUUAUUUCAUAGAAAACUUGGUUUUUUACAACUGAACUGAGAGUCUCCUUAUAUAAACUGGGAGACUCUAGCUUUUACCAGAAACCGGGUAGCAACCUGCUACCGACACUUAAAAGUAAAAGAUUCACACUCAAAGUAAAAGAUACACUAAUUACAUAAUAUAGCCGACGGACUUUAACUUUAAUCAUGGAGUUGUUGACAGGUUGAGUG
rnacentral:misc_RNA from 1 species